GGGUGAGUAACACGUGGGUAACCUGCCCUAAAGUCUGGGAUACCACUUGGAAACAGGCGCUAAUACCGGAUAACAACAAUAGCUGCAUGGCUAUUGCUUAAAAGGCGGCGAAAGCUGUCGCUAAAGGAUGGACCCGCGGUGCAUUAGCUAGUUGGUAAGGUAAUGGCUUACCAAGGCGACGAUGCAUAGCCGAGUUGAGAGACUGAUCGGCCACAUUGGGACUGAGACACGGCCCAAACUCCUACGGGAGGCAGCAGUAGGGAAUCUUCCACAAUGGGCGAAAGCCUGAUGGAGCAACGCCGCGUGAGUGAAGAAGGUUUUCGGAUCGUAAAGCUCUGUUGUUGGUGAAGAAGGAUAGAGGUAGUAACUGGCCCCUAUUUGACGGUAAUCAACCAGAAAGUCACGGCUAACUACGUGCCAGCAGCCGCGGUAAUACGUAGGUGGCAAGCGUUGUCCGGAUUUAUUGGGCGUAAAGCGAGCGCAGGCGGAAAGAUAAGUCUGAUGUGAAAGCCCCCGGCUUAACCGAGGAAUUGCAUCGGAAACUGUGUUUCUUGAGUGCAGAAGAGGAGAGUGGAACUCCAUGUGUAGCGGUGGAAUGCGUAGAUAUAUGGAAGAACACCAGUGGCGAAGGCGGCUCUCUGGUCUGUAACUGACGCUGAGGCUCGAAAGCAUGGGUAGCGAACAGGAUUAGAUACCCUGGUAGUCCAUGCCGUAAACGAUGAAUGCUAAGUGUUGGGA
rnacentral:rRNA from 1 species